UACGUAGGGCGCAAGCGUUGUCCGGAUUUAUUGGGCGUAAAGGGCUCGUAGGCGGUUUGUCGCGUCGGGAGUGAAAACUCAGGGCUUAACCCUGAGCCUGCUCCCGAUACGGGCAGACUAGAGGUAUGCAGGGGAGAACGGAAUUCCUGGUGUAGCGGUGAAAUGCGCAGAUAUCAGGAGGAACACCGGUGGCGAAGGCGGUUCUCUGGGCAUUACCUGACGCUGAGGAGCGAAAGUGUGGGGAGCGAACAGG
rnacentral:rRNA from 1 species